GAUGGAGACCACCUUCUCAUCCAAGGAUGUGGCCAUUAAGGAGAAGUCUUUCCCAUCGUAAAUAUCCAGGGGUGUGACUGAGCCAUCACUGAACUGGACCCAGCAACUGAUGGCUGCUUCCUAUGGAGAAAAAUAUGUGUUAAAAGGAAGAUGGGCCCUUGGGCUGUUCAGAAUCGACAUCUGAACAGUAAUAAAAUGCACCACAAAGGAAAUUACUGGUUAGCGGGAUCUUUUACGAGUGCUACGCAUUCAAAUGAAAAAUGUUUAUUACAUAAUUUUUAAGUUGUAAUAGGAGUCUCCACUGAUUACUGGCAAUACAGAUGAAAGCCUCUGAGCUAGACAAGCCCCACAGCAGGGCUGCAGGCUUGGUUUUGCCAGCCUCGCCUCUUCCGGGUCCCCGGAGAGAUCUGUGCUGGCCUCAGGACACAGUCUUGGCUUGGAGGGAGGAGUUAAGCCUGACGGCCGGAGAGGGAGAAGCAUCUUGACUGGAGCGUCUUCUCCUCUUGCACCACCCCACCCUCCACCCAGCCCAGCUGGAGGUAACUGGAAGUCCAAAAAGCAGCCAGAGCUAAGGAAAUCUGAGCAGAGCAUUCAAAUGCACAGCGGGUUUCCUGAAACCACCUCUGCCAGGGCCAAGCUGCGUGCAAGGAGUAAGAGCCCCACACACCAUCUACGGAGCACAUCUCGGGGUGGUGUGCUUAGCUCUACACGGCAGGAACGGAUUAGCCCUCUGGCCUUCUUCUAGCUGCAUCUUAUACCUUCCUUAAUGCCUUGCUGGCGGCCAGCGGGUGAUAUCUCCCAUAAAGACUGAGAAAAGCCUCAGGUUAUUUCUUCAUUGCUAUCUGUAACAUGCCUCUCGGCUGGCAUCCUUCCUUGAGAAAAAGGACGUUUGCUUCGGCCAAGAGUUCGUAUCUGUUAUUGGGAUCAUGCACUUUCAAGUGUUUUCUAAUCCAAAACUCUGCAAAGACUGUCGUAUAAAGAUGAGAUUAGCGCGUGCCUGAGAGGGGAGCAUGGCAUGACAGGUGCUGGCUGGGCAGGUCCAGUGUGGCGCUCCCGCCUCCUCGAACAUGGUCGCAGCCACAGCUGGUGCACACAGGCAGGGCAGGCCUGGUACCUCACCUGCUGAGGAGGAAUGCACAGGAAAGGUUCCUGAUCCAGAAGGGAAGUGGCCAGUACAGUGUCCCAUACGGGCUGGAGGGCUCCCUUUUCAUGGGCACAAAGAACUAACCACCUGCAACCACUGAGUUUUGUUGUUAAGCAAAGUUCAGCCAACUCCCUGUAUUCUAAAAAAGGUUUAUCCACUUCUAAUGAGGGAGAAGAACUUACUACAUUCAAAGGUCCUCUGUAACAGUCCCCUUUGUAGGCCAUUGUAUCUACACACAAACACAUUGCACCAUACACAUACACACAACACAUACACACAACAUACAUAUACGCUUAGACGCACACUGGUGCCUAUACAACGCAUACACACAACACAAUACUGACACAAGACACAUGCAUAUAGACACAUAAAGCAAAAACAGACCCACAACACACACAUACAUGUGCACACAUAACACAGACACAAUGCAUACACAACAGGCACAAUGCAUACAUACAUUCACAACACACAUACACAUAUACAUGCACACAGAUUCCUAUACAACACAAACAUACAACACAAAACAUACUGACACAAGACACAUACACAUGCAUACACAAUGGCACACAUAAAGCAAAAACGACAUACAUAGGCACACAGCACACACAGAUACAUGCAAUCACACAAUACAUUCACAACACACAUGUACAUAUACAUGCACACAGGUUCCUAUACAACCAAAACACACAGAACACAAAAUGAGCAACACAAAAUACUGACAGAAGACACAUACAUAUACACACAUGCACAUAGACAAAGCGAAAACACAUACAUACAUAACACAUACAUAGACACAACACACAGAAACACACACAACACACACUAUUAGCUCACACUGGUUCCAAAGAAAGUAAAAGAAACCCCCAAGUGACAUCACCAUGAGUUCUCUGUUUCUGCCUUGAGCUGAACAAGAAAGUGAUCUCCCGCCAUGGGCUCCCCACAGACUCAGCAGGUCUGGCACCUCCGCUCCAGCAGGACCUCGGCAGCAGGCUGUGCACCUGCUGUCAGCCUGCAUGUGCCCUCACGCUCACGUGGAAGCAGGAAGCAUGUGGACAGCACAGGUGACCCCCUGCACGCACUUUCACGAUGAUGGAUGAGGGGUGGGCCUUUCCUCCGGGGCUCCUGCCCCUUGGUGGCUUCCCAUUUUUUGCAGUUGCAACCCUUAUGUAUGUGUAUAUUUCUUUCAUCUCUGCAUGGGGGAGCUGGGAAACAUGACAGAGCAGUCGUCUGCUUCAGAAGCUCCCUUUGCAGGUGGAGAAACACCCAAUGUGUGAUCCCACUGUGUUGUGGGGCCCGCCUGGUGUGGGACCCCGCUGAGCUGUGUCUCAAGCCCUCCUCUAUACCUG